rnacentral:tRNA from 1 species
GCCGGGGUGCUGAAAUUGGUAGACAGUGUUGGCUUAAAACCAACUGAGCGCAAGCUCGUGCGGGUUCGACCCCCGCCCCCGGCA